AACGAACGCUGGCGGCAGGCCUAACACAUGCAAGUCGAACGCCCCGCAAGGGGAGUGACAGACGGGUGAGUAACGCGUGGGAACCUUCCCAGUGGUGCGGAAUAGCUCAGGGAAACUUGGGGUAAUACCGUAUAAGCCCGAAAGGGGAAAGAUUUAUCGCCAUUGGAUGGGCCCGCGUAGGAUUAGCUAGUUGGUGAGGUAAUGGCUCACCAAGGCGACGAUCCUUAGCUGGUCUGAGAGGAUGAUCAGCCACACUGGGACUGAGACACGGCCCAGACUCCUACGGGAGGCAGCAGUGGGGAAUAUUGGACAAUGGGCGCAAGCCUGAUCCAGCCAUGCCGCGUGAGUGACGAAGGCCUUAGGGUUGUAAAGCUCUUUUGGCGGGGACGAUAAUGACGGUACCCGCAGAAUAAGCCCCGGCUAACUUCGUGCCAGCCGCCGCUGUAACAC
rnacentral:rRNA from 1 species